CAUCUGUGUGUUUGGUGCAAACAUGCUAAUGUUUGGCAUGUUUGGGGCAGGACAAGAAGUCUGGGAAUUCCCAGUUCUCAGGCAUGCAAAACAAUCCCAUGAGCACUAGGGAUGCACUGAUGGAUCGGCAUUUGAUCGUAAUUGGCCGAUAGCGCCCUUAUUGGUUUUGAUCGGAGUUUUCAAAAUAGAUCAAAGCAGACCGAUCAGGUAGGGUUGUCACGGUAACCAGUGUAGUGGUAAACCCCGGUAAAAAAAAAAGUUGACAAUAAUAACCGUCUUGUUUUAAAAAAAACUAUAUUAUCUCGGUGGAUUACCGUGGCUGCGGUGUAGGCGCGGUGACCCUUACCAGCCACCGUAUCAUCAGCUGUAUGGUGUCAGAUUUCCGCCAAAACCCGUGCAAGCGUAGCCAAAACCCGUGCACGCGUAUUGUGCACAUCGCGCGUGCGAACGGGACUCGCGCGUGGAGGUUAGAACCUCAUGAGUGAAAAUAUACAUGGCGAGGAGGUCAUUUGUACACUGAGAGGGAGCAAACUGUGUCUGUGAGCGCACAAGGAUGUGCACAAGUGACAAACCUGCGUGCGCUCGUUGGCCAACGAGCACACGGCAGAGGAAAACAUGCGCGCGGCAGCCUCACUGCGCGCUCGGUGCGGCAGCCUCACUGCACGUGUGGCAGCCUUUCUGCGCGCUCGGUUUCCGAUUCUGCUCGCUCGGCUGUUGGGAGUUUUGGCACUCUGGAGGCGUGGAAGAAUUAAAGUGCCAGAAACUGAGCAGUUGAACUUUCAAUUUGAGAGCAGAAUUUCAUAUCAAGAGACCAUCUUUUUAAUUUCAGAAUACUAUUUUAUAUUAUUGCUCUCAAAACUUGUAAUGCUUGCGCUCAAAAUGUCUGCUCUCUUUCAAAUUCAUUCUGUUCUCCUUCAAAUCUUUGUUUUUGCGCUCAGAUUUAACCUUCUUACACUGGUAUUGUCUUCUCAUGUGACAACUUUUUCUCUACACGGAUCAAAACUCCUCCCACAAGUCUGUCCCCUGCUCUCACGGAUCUUGUCUGCUCUCGCUCAAAACUUAGAAGUACAAUCUCCUAGCAACCGCUCAGCCAAUAGAAAGACUUGUGGGACUGGGCGGGAACAAACCUCUUUGGGGUGCGCUCGUUUUGCGCUCUGUGGAUUUUCCUGUGUGGCUGCCGCAUCUGCGCACUAACAGCCUGGCUAAUACCCGCUCUGAUCUGGAGCGAGAGUUUCACCUGCACCAGCAAAAUGGACCAGAACCAACAAGACGCUCAAACUGGUUCCAUCCGAGAAGUUACGAGAAACCUUAUGGAUUUACUGAAUGCUCAUCUACAAGCAGAGGGCCCGCAACAAACACCAACUGUGCCACAGCGCACAACACCAGCGACAACACCUUAACAGACUAUCCCUCGGUCUACAGUUCAUCAAGAAAUGUCAAGGAUUUCCAAGAGCCAGACAUCGACUGGGAUGUUGCUGCAGAGUACAGCCCAGAUGUGGACGGUGCUGCUGUGGUCCCGGAGUUCGACAGUCCCCUCACUGAAGAGCAGCAUGCUGAACUGCAUCCAUGCUUUCGUUCUUUUUUAAACACAGAAACAGUUUUGUUUACCUGUUAGUAGCUACAGUUUCGCCGACGGCUGCCGGCUUCUUCAGGCUGACGCUGUUGGUGGCGCGUCACUUCCU